rnacentral:rRNA from 1 species
GACGAACGCUGGCGGCGUGCUUAACACAUGCAAGUCGAACGGAAAGGCCCUGCUUUUGUGGGGUGCUCGAGUGGCGAACGGGUGAGUAACACGUGAGUAACCUGCCCUUGACUUUGGGAUAACUUCAGGAAACUGGGGCUAAUACCGGAUAGGAGCUCCUGCUGCAUGGUGGGGGUUGGAAAGUUUCGGCGGUUGGGGAUGGACUCGCGGCUUAUCAGCUUGUUGGUGGGGUAGUGGCUUACCAAGGCUUUGACGGGUAGCCGGCCUGAGAGGGUGACCGGCCACAUUGGGACUGAGAUACGGCCCAGACUCCUACGGGAGGCAGCAGUGGGGAAUAUUGCACAAUGGGCUGAAGCCUGCUGCAGCAACGCCGCGUGCGGGAUGACGGCCUUCGGGUUGUAAACCGCUUUCGCCUGUGACGAAGCGUGAGUGACGGUACUGGGUAAAGAAGCACCGGCUAACUACGUG